GCUGGACCUUGACAACAUAUGCAAGUUUCAUUUUGUCUGUACUAGACGUGUACAGUUUUGACCGACAAAAGAACAGGGGGAGGAGAAAGAAGGGGAAGGGCUAUGAGGUGAAAGGCAGAUCAGAAAUAAGCCCAGCUUGGAAGAAAGUGAGGAUCCCAACCUGGCAGAGAAAGAGGAGCUGAUGAAGGAGACUAGAGAAGGACCCGUCUGGAAAUACAGAACUUGGUCCAAGUAAAGGAGGACCUUGAAGGUUUGGUGGGUAAAUCCCCAUUUAGAAUAAAGGCCUAUUUCUUAUCCUCUGAGCUGGAUAAGCUAUUCAGGCAGAGAACAACCUUUGAAGUUAAGGGAAACUGUGCUAUCAAGCCAAACGUGAAAUAAAAUCAGAAGGGGACCCCUAAUGCAUUAUGGAAUACAACGCAGAAUUUGGCCGAAGGUGAUGCUAAUUUUCUGCUCUUGUCAAUGAAAAACAGACGCCAGGACGACUUGCUUGCAUUCAUCUGAAUCCACAUGGCAGCGUCAGAAAGCUGGUCUCAUGGAUCCAUGGAAAUAAUUUUGAUAACUUUAACUCCAUUUCCAGUUGCAGCAUAUUUUGCAUCAAAAAAUGUAUGGAGGAUGGAAGACCCUUUUCACGCAGCAGCUGGGACAGAACACAGCCAGCCUGGUGAGCACAGGCAAACUGGACAUUGGAAGACCCAGCUGCACAAAGACUCCUUCCUGUGAGAGGCUUGGAGAAGACUUUGCUCUAGACACACAAGGGAGCCUGUGGGAAGGUGCCAGGGGAGCCAAGAAGAGCAAAACCAAGGAGGCAUUGUUUCCUCCAGAGCCUCAUUCAUCAACUCGCUCUGAACAGUUAGCACGCUCAGACAGUCAUCUUCUGCACCUUGCCUUUCCCUGUGUCUUGACUGAGGGCUUAUCUGAGAGCCUUUUGUUCAGGCUCAUAAUUAUUCAGUGACUCAGGAGCCCACAAGCAUUACCCACGGAGCCAGACAAGACCAGCAAGCUCUGAGGACCACCUGUUCCAAGUCAUUUCCUGUGUGGGCGGCAACUUCACAGGGCUGAAAAUACGAGUUACGGUAAAAAUGUCUUCAACCCUGGCGCGCUGGAUUGUUGAAACUCGAUGGAAUCUUGCUUGAUUAUGUUCAGGCCAGACACAUUUCAUUAUCAUUCUUUGCAUAUAUAUUAAAAACUCUAACCCCUUUACAAACAAAUGUUCUCAAGGGGCAGACAGCACACCCUUGCCUCAUGACAUUGCUCUAAUAGAGAAAACACCCCAGUGUUUCACCCAUUAGGUCAGAUCCACGAACACAGAGUGCAGUUGGGAAGGAUGUGGGCAGUAAUGAAGGUGGUGCUUUUUGCUCCUGUGGGUGCUAUGGACAGGUGAGGGUUCAAGGAUAUUAACAACAAAUUUUAAGCCAUACCUUACACUACAUUGGAGCUUAAUCAAAUUCUCUGUUCACAGUAUGCCUAAAUUGGCCAAUGGAACGGAAAAAAAAAAAAAAAGCAACCCACCCCCAAGAGUUAUUUAUGUCAUGUAGACAAAACCUGGGUUCGUUGACUGAUUAUUUCCACUCUCUAGUGAUGGUCGUUGCAUUUUCACUCUGAGUUGAAUUGCUGCAUUUUUCCAUAAAUAUAUCUGCUCCUCUGGAAGAAGCUUUGUUGCUUAGCCUUAUUGCCCUUCACGUCUGCCUUUCUGACCUCAUAGACUGUCAAGUUCUUAGUUGGUGACUAAAGUAUAAAAGUAAUUUCUUUCUCUCUUUUUUAAAAUUAUUAAAGCCACACAUGCUCACUACAGAAAAGUUAGAAUGUAGAUAUGUGUGAAGAAAAGAAAAAUUAGCCAUUAGGCCCACAAUCUAGGGAAAACUCAUUUUGGGCAUUUGGAUGGCUUUAAUAUGCAUUCACUAUUAAAUGAUGAAUAUGAUAUUAUACAUAGUAUACUAAUAUAUUAUGAUGAUGGAUCAGUGCUGAUGUGUUUUAACAUAAAUGUAUAUGUUAGUAAUGCUGCUGUUUUAUCUUAACAGUUUUUCAAACUUGCAUUGUUUUGCCCUUCAGCUAAAAGGGUAGGGAAUUUGCUAGGGAUAUAAAUUCAUUAAUCAUAAAAAUUAUGUCAUAACAGCCUGCACAGAAAUCACAAUAGGAUGCAGGACAUAGAUUAGACUAGAGUUGAGAUUCUUGCCCCAACCACAACUGUUCAGGCUUU
rnacentral:lncRNA from 10 species